rnacentral:rRNA from 1 species
GAUGAACGCUGGCGGCGUGCCUAAUACAUGCAAGUCGAGCGAACGGACGAGAAGCUUGCUUCUCUGAUGUUAGCGGCGGACGGGUGAGUAACACGUGGAUAACCUACCUAUAAGACUGGGAUAACUUCGGGAAACCGGAGCUAAUACCGGAUAAUAUUUUGAACCGCAUGGUUCAAAAGUGAAAGACGGUCUUGCUGUCACUUAUAGAUGGAUCCGCGCUGCAUUAGCUAGUUGGUAAGGUAACGGCUUACCAAGGCAACGAUGCAUAGCCGACCUGAGAGGGUGAUCGGCCACACUGGAACUGAGACACGGUCCAGACUCCUACGGGAGGCAGCAGUAGGGAAUCUUCCGCAAAGGGCGAAAGCCUGACGGAGCAACGCCGCGUGAGUGACGAAGGUCUUCGGAUCGUAAAACUCUGUUAUUAGGGAAGAACAUAUGUGUAAGUAACUGUGCACAUCUUGACGGUACCUAAUCAGAAAGCCACGGCUAACUACGUG